rnacentral:rRNA from 1 species
AUUGAACGCUGGCGGCAUGCCUUACACAUGCAAGUCGAACAGUAACAGGUCUUCGCAUGCUGACGAGUGGCGAACGGGUGAGUAAUACAUCGGAACGUGCCCGAGAGUGGGGGAUAACGAAGCGAAAGCUUUGCUAAUACCGCAUACGAUCUCAGGAUGAAAGCAGGGGACCGCAAGGCCUUGCGCUCACGGAGCGGCCGCUGGCAGAUUAGGUAGUUGGUGGGAUAAAAGCUUACCAAGCCGACGAUCUGUAGCUGGUCUGAGAGGACGACCAGCCACACUGGGACUGAGACACGGCCCAGACUCCUACGGGAGGCAGCAGUGGGGAAUUUUGGACAAUGGGCGCAAGCCUGAUCCAGCCAUGCCGCGUGCAGGAUGAAGGCCUUCGGGUUGUAAACUGCUUUUGUACGGAACGAAAAGACUCUGGUUAAUACCUGGGGUCCAUGACGGUACCGUAAGAAUAAGCACCGGCUAACUACGUGCCAGCAGCCGCCGUAA